GUUCGGUUUUAUGAGCUUUUUCUGAGAUUUGAAGAUUAAAAAUGGUCAAACGGUGUGCAUGGGGUACAUGCAACUCUGACACAAGGUAUCCUGAGAGGCUGGGCGACCAGGUGUAUUUUUUACACUUUAAACCACAUCUCAACCGAGAAAAGUGUCUCCUUUGGAUAAAGUUGUGUGGUAACGUUAGACCACAACAUCAACUCAACGUGAAUAAGAUUAACAAUGAUGUCUACAUCUGUUCUAAGACAGACACAUGUGACCAGGAGGACGAUCAGGAUGAAAGCAGACACCCCCAGUAUGAUCCACAUCCAGAGGUCGAUGAUGGGGAGGCCGUCUGUGGGAGCUCGGCGUACAAGAAAAUGAGCGCUGAGCUUCCUGUGACAAGACACAACUGAGCUUGAUGAACUUUCAGAUUCAAUCUCCAACCACAGUUUACAAGGUCGACGCCCAGACGGGAGCAGCUCAAACUCUGAGUGUAAUAGAUGUGAAGCAUCAGCAACUGUAUGUUUGGCCCUCCUGCGUACAGCACUGUCAGACACAUGACAGAGUUGUUUCUGUGACGUGCCGAUCAC